UACGAAGGGGGCUAGCGUUGCUCGGAAUUACUGGGCGUAAAGCGCGCGCAGGCGGUCUUUCAAGUCAGUGGUGAAAGCCCGGAGCUCAACUCCGGAAAUGCCAUUGAAACUGUAAGACUUGAGGAUGAGAGAGGUGAGUGGAAUUCCCAGUGUAGAGGUGAAAUUCGUAGAUAUUGGGAAGAACACCGGUGGCGAAGGCGGCUCACUGGCUCAUAUCUGACGCUCAGGCGCGACAGCGUGGGGAUCAAACAGG
rnacentral:rRNA from 1 species